AGAGUUUGAUCAUGGCUCAGGACGAACGCUGGCGGCGUGCCUAAUACACGCAAGUCGAGCGAGCUUGCCUAGAUGAUUUUAGUGCUUGCACUAAAUGAAACUAGAUACAAGCGAGCGGCGGACGGGUGAGUAACACGUGGGUAACCUGCCCAAGAGACUGGGAUAACACCUGGAAACAGAUGCUAAUACCGGAUAACAACACUAGACGCAUGUCUAGAGUUUGAAAGAUGGUUCUGCUAUCACUCUUGGAUGGACCUGCGGUGCAUUAGCUAGUUGGUAAGGUAACGGCUUACCAAGGCAACGAUCAGUAGCCGACCUGAGAGGGUGACCGGCCACAUUGGGACUGAGACACGGCCCAAACUCCUACGGGAGGCAGCAGUGGGGAAUAUUGCACAAUGGGGGAAACCCUGAUGCAGCGACGCCGCGUGAGCGAAGAAGUAUUUCGGUAUGUAAAGCUCUAUCAGCAGGGAAGAAACUGACGGUACCUGACUAAGAAGCACCGG
rnacentral:rRNA from 1 species